rnacentral:rRNA from 1 species
GACGAACGCUGGCGGCGUGCCUAAUACAUGCAAGUUGAGCGCUGAAGGUUGGUACUUGUACCAACUGGAUGAGCAGCGAACGGGUGAGUAACGCGUGGGGAAUCUGCCUUUGAGCGGGGGACAACAUUUGGAAACGAAUGCUAAUACCGCAUAAAAACUUUAAACACAAGUUUUAAGUUUGAAAGAUGCAAUUGCAUCACUCAAAGAUGAUCCCGCGUUGUAUUAGCUAGUUGGUGAGGUAAAGGCUCACCAAGGCGAUGAUACAUAGCCGACCUGAGAGGGCGAUCGGCCACAUUGGGACGGAGACACGGCCCAAACUCCUACGGGAGGCAGCAGUAGGGAAUCUUCGGCAAUGGACGAAAGUCUGACCGAGCAACGCCGCGUGAGUGAAGAAGGUUUUCGGAUCGUAAAACUCUGUUGGUAGAGAAGAACGUUGGUGAGAGUGGAAAGCUCAUCAAGUGACGGUAACUACCCAGAAAGGGACGGCUAACUACGUG